UUGUGUUAGAAUUAUCCAGCCUUACAUGUUGUGUCCGCACAACACGGAUUUGAAUCAGCGUAGGCAUGAAAGGCACCAGAAAUUACGCGUGGAUCCUCGACGGCUUUUAUAGGAGGCACCAUGUUCGCUCGACGGUUCACAAGAGGCAACGCCGACGACGAAAUCGCCGGCUGACACCUUGCCGGGUUUCUAUUGCUACAAUCAGAGAAUGACCAUCGGCUGCUUCGAUCCGACGAUCCCAUCCGUGACUCGAAGCGCAGCGGCCAGCACCUUCCAGCGUCUGAGUGUCACAGUGCCGGAAAAAGCAGGACAGGCAGCAGCUCAACGCAUCCGCAUGGCCAUGCUGUGCAAGUCCCUGAAAAUUUGUUCCGAGGGAAGCACUGAGGGCGCUGGCUUGGUCGUGUAGAUCUCGAUUUCCGGUGCAAGCUAGACGCGAUGCGAGGGCUUUUUCUUUUUAUCGUUUCGAUUCGAAAACAAAGCUAGCUGGCGACACGACUUGCAUGCACCCGCAAUCCCCGCUCUUUCCGGCUCCACUCCUUCGUCCUCCUCGGAACCGCCCCUCCCGCUCCCACUCCCUCUCGCCUCGAUCUCCUCCCCACCCCACUCCACCAGGCGCACAAGUCACGCCAAUAAAAACCUCUCUUCAUCCCCCGACACCUGGUUCAUACACAGACAAACUGCUUUCACGUGUGCUCUGCCCCGGCGUAACGCGGCCGGGAAGGCUCAGGCGGCCCGCGAGGUGUGCGCCGCGUCCUGCCCGCACCGCCGCCGCUCUCCGCGCCGCGCGCACUUCGUCGACUGGUACCUCGUCCUCGCCAUCGGCGAGGCCUCGUCGGAGGACGCCAUCAACCGGCGGUACCGGCACCUCGAUAAAGGACGCAAAGGCAAAAAUGUUGAUGCUGGGAGCAAGACUAGUCGAGCAGGUGGCAAGUGAAGUGUUUCGCUCUUCGCAGGGAUGGAGACCUAGAGUCCCUCGACUUGGUGUCUAAUUCCAGAGACGCAGAAGUGAAGUUCGAUGGGCCUUUUGUGCUGCUGGUUGUUGAAGUUGGCUGUUGGUUGUUUUGUUGGCUCUAAGUUGCUUUGUCCUAGUGUUCCUUUUGUGUUGGUCCCUACAAAAAAUGGUUGAUGUCUGUUGCUCUUGGCAUGUGCUUAACCUUAUUUUGGCCCUUGCUAUUCGGGUCUGUA